UACAGAGGUCUCAAGCGUUGUUCGGAUUCAUUGGGCGUAAAGGGUGUGUAGGUGGCGCCGUAAGUCGGGUGUGAAAUUUCGGAGCUUAACUCCGAAACUGCAUUCGAUACUGCGGUGCUUGAGGACUGGAGAGGAGACUGGAAUUUACGGUGUAGCGGUGAAAUGCGUAGAUAUCGUAAGGAAGGCCAGUGGCGAAGGCGAGUUCCUGGACAGUUACUGACGCUGAGGCACGAAGGCCCAGGGGAGCAAACGGG
rnacentral:rRNA from 1 species